rnacentral:lncRNA from 1 species
UGAGAAAACGAAGUUGAGAUGCAUGUAGCUUUAUGAUUCAGAAGUAUGGUUGUAAGUAUAUAGCUCACAUGCAGAGACAUAGUAAAGGUGCCCAUACAGCACCAACUUUAAUACAGCAAAACAUAAAGCACGGACAUCCAACUGUAGAACAGCAAGAAACCACAGAAUGUUACAGUGUGGGUUUUCAAAAACUUCAAGUUUUGCAUCUAAUUGUUAUGCUCAUUUGCAUGGGAAUGUAUUCCCAGCACUGGAGAGGUAGGGGCAGAAGGAUUGAGAGUUCAAACGCAGCCUACAUGAAACUGUUUGAAAACUAUAAAACACAGUUUGACACAGGUUACCUUUGAACAAAUAUUAAGAUUCAAAUGAGAAAAAUAAAUGAAAGUGUCAAAUGUAUAAA